rnacentral:rRNA from 1 species
GACGAACGCUGGCGGCGUGCUUAACACAUGCAAGUCGAACGGAAAGGCCCUGCUUUUGUGGGGUGCUCGAGUGGCGAACGGGUGAGUAACACGUGAGUAACCUGCCCUUGACUUUGGGAUAACUUCAGGAAACUGGGGCUAAUACCGGAUAGGAGCUCCUGCUGCAUGGUGGGGGUUGGAAAGUUUCGGCGGUUGGGGAUGGACUCGCGGCUUAUCAGCUUGUUGGUGGGGUAGUGGCUUACCAAGGCUUUGACGGGUAGCCGGCCUGAGAGGGUGACCGGCCACAUUAGGACUGAGGUACGGCCCAGACUCCUACGGGAGGCAGCAGUGGGGAAUAUUGCACAAUGGGCGGAAGCCUGAUGCAGCAACGCCGCGUGCGGGAUGACGGCCUUCGGGUUGUAAACCGCUUUCGCCUGUGACGAAGCGUGAGUGACGGUAAUGGGUAAAGAAGCACCGGCUAACUACGUG